AUACUUACUUGGCAGGGGAGAUACCAUGGUCGCGAAGGUGGUUUUCCCAGGGCGAAGCUUGUCCUUGGCGCUCCGGAUAUGCUGACCCCUGCGAUUUCCCCAAAUGUAGGACACGCAAUUGCACAAUUUGUGGUAGUGGGGGACUGCAUUCACACUUUCCCCUG